GAAAACAGAAUAUGUAAAAAAUCUUGAAUCAAUGAUUACCAAUAGCAUUGUAUAAUGGUUCUCCAGUAAUAGAGUCCCAUACAAUUGUAGUUUCUCUUUGGUUUGUUAUACCAACUGCAACUAUAUCACUAGGAUCAAUGGAUCUUGUUCGACCCAUCCUUCUUUUGGACAUGAUUGUGAUAUCGAGACUUGAUGAUAUGUUAAUACUUCGGCAGUAUCCGCAGCAAAAACCUAAAAUAAUGGUGCAUACAUUAGUAAAUCAUUAAUAAAAAUAUAAAGAAUGUAUAUAGAA